ensembl:lncRNA
GGCGGCGCACAGCCAAGUCCCCGCCCCACUCUCCACUGAAUAUGACACAGCUGCUUUUCAGAACCCAACCGCUCGAGCCCCUUCAUCCUGAGAGCAAACAAAAAGUGGCUAUUUAUUAGAAUACUUGUUUUGUAUUGUUCAGCGCCACACAACAGACGCUUCAUUAUUGUGUGUUGAAUGGUGGGUUUGGGCACCGGGCACGGAUGGCACACACAGCGGUUAGAGUUUAGGGGCGAUGGCGGUCUUACAGGAAGCUUUGGUGUGUUUAGGACGGCUUUAGGAGGAGGAUGGGGAGAAAAUCUAUUCCUACUUCACUGACUACGAUAGAGGAUCAGGGAGACGUGCCUGAAUGGAAAAAAACGCACUAGCGACUAGCCUAUUUAUGGACGUUGAUGUGGUUGUUUUGCCGGGCACCGGAUGCAGAUCCGUUCCUUGAACGCACGGGUGUCCAGUAUGAUAACUGCCAUGGUGGACUGUCCAUGGAUCACCGUGGAGACCUGUGAUUGACAGACAGGCACUAGCCCCCGUCUGGCUGGCUGGCAGGCCGUCAUUACGAUGAGCAGGAGCAGAUUUGCUAUGCUGGCGACAGGACCGCACGGGAAAUGUCAACGACCAUCAGAGCCCCAGACAGACUUCCUCCCCUCCCCCAAGUACCUCACCUAAUGUCAGCUAAUGCCCAUGCUCAUCAUCCAGACCCUCGGUACCAUCAACACAGCUUCACAUACUUCAUCUACACUCAUUUACAAACCACAUGCACACAAAGCACUCUACCCCUGUAUACUUCGUCCAACAACUCAACACGCCUCACCCAAACCCCCACAUGGCUCACCCAUCCCUCACAUAUUUCACCCCAACCCCUAUGUAUCACCCAACGGCCUCACACCUCAUCCAACCACCACAGUACCUCACUCCUUAUGUGCGUCAUCCGCCCCACACAUCCACCCGUCACCCCCCCCGUCACCCCCCAUGCACCUCAGCCAGCCUCCUAUAUUAAUACCAUGUCUCCCUCUAUUGGCCUAUUGCCCAGCAGCACUCUGCAUGUUAACAUUUCAAAAUUCCUCAAAUGGUGAGAAAGAAGUAUUUUCUUGCCUUCAGUCUAUGUGAACAGCCAGUCUGCCCUGCAUGCCAGACAGCUAGCUAGAACAUCACGUGUGGUCAGUUCUGAGACAGACUGGCACUCUGACAGGCACCCUGACCAGAGUAAGUGCCUCACACAUAUUACAGCAGUUUACUGCAGUUUGGCAGGACACUGACAACAAGACCAGCCAAUGCCUGGCAAACUGACUGACCCCCGGUCUAGUUGGCACCUAGUAAGAUAAGGAGAAAAUAUAAGGAAUAUGACAUUGAGAUCAUGUGUAAGUGAAAAAGGUUUCGGUAAUUAUUUUCUCUUUCUUGACGUGUUUUUUUUUUCUGCAAACGUACACACAGUGCAAACGUUUAGGAAAUCUGUUCCAAGGUAUCUCUAGAGUAAAGUCUUAACAGUCAUCCUUCUCCUCUCCGGGCCCAGACACAGCGUCAUGUUCAUGUUGGUACUAUUCAGAGCUCUGCUGCCUUGAAUGAUACCACAAAACUAAAUAAACACAUUAAAAUGGCUUCCUGUCGCCUCCCAUUGGCGACACAGGAAGAAAUCUCAGUUUCAUUACAUAGGAAAUUAAAAGGAAGGGUAUUUGUAGAGUACAAGGAGGAAAGGUGAGGAAAACUUUCUGCGAGACCACAAUCUAACUAUAUUACAUAUAAUCACUCAUUGAAAUAGUUUUUUAUUUAUUUGAAUUCUGUUCCUCCAGCCUGGGAUUUUUAAAAUUCCUGCCAUCGAUCUAGAAGCUGCUUGAAGCAGUGGGAGAGAGGGUUAGAUCUGUGGUAUGGAAAUACUGGGCAGAAGUUAUGAAUGAGGCAAUCUAAAAAAUUAAUAGGUAAAUCAAUGAAGCAUUCAAUGUGCAUCAACAUUGACUUAAUCAAGCAUUCGUCUUUAUGGUCUUGUAUUAUUGAUUUUAUAUCAACGUAUCAAGUUGAAAUCAAAAUUAUUUUUGCUUCUGUACAUUUUGAGGAUUGACUGAAAACCUGUCCCUUGCAUUAGAAAUAAAAUGCAAUGCAAAAUAAAGAGUUAUCUGUU